GACGAACGCUGGCGGCGUGCUUAACACAUGCAAGUCGAACGAUGAAGCCGGAGCUUGCUCUGGUGAAUUAGUGGCGAACGGGUGAGUAACACGUGAGUAACCUGCCCUUGACUCUGGGGUAACUGCUAGAAAUGGUAGCUAAUACCGGAUACGACCCUCGGAGGCAUCUCCAGGGGGUGGAAAGAAUUUCGGUCAAGGAUGGACUCGCGGCCUAUCAGCUAGUUGGUGAGGUAACGGCUCACCAAGGCGACGACGGGUAGCCGGGCUGAGAGGGUGACCGGCCACACUGGGACUGAGACACGGCCCAGACUCCGACGGGAGGCAGCAGUGGGGAAUAUUGCACAAUGGGCGCAAGCCUGAUGCAGCAACGCCGCGUGAGGGAUGACGGCCUUCGGGUUGUAAACCUCUUUUAGUAGGGAAGAAGCGAAAGUGACGGUACCUGCAGAAAAAGCACCGGCUAACUACGUGCCAGCCGCCGCGGUAA
rnacentral:rRNA from 1 species